GAUUUCAAAUUUCGUCCAAGGUUCGUUGUCAUGUCAUUUUAAUGACAAUGACAACCCCCAUAUCUCAUUCUCAAAAUGGAGGUGGAAAUGUUUUAAAAAGCAAAGCAGCUUCAAAAAUAAAUCAUUUUAUUUCAACAAAUCAUCUUCCUCUUGGGUUUUUGGGAAUAAAAGCACUUUCCUCCCUCCGGGAGCUGCAAGCAUCCUCAAAUCGCCGGCGAUAGAACAACGAGGACCAUGUCAUCAGGGCUGCAACCGCAUUACCAAGACUGCAACGACCAACAUCCGUAGGCCUGGUGGAAUACAACACCUACAACCCCAGAGCCUGUUGCAGAAUCAGCAGCAGUACCAUACGACAUCAAGAAGAUACCAUCAGCUACCAAAAGCCAUAAGUAUAAUCCAGAAUUGUUAGUUUUUGGCAAGAAUUUGAAUACAUUUGUUAAUGCAAUUUACUAAGUCAUUUUAUUUAUUAUAUCUUUAUGAACAAUAAACAUGAUUAGUUAAAAUUA